rnacentral:misc_RNA from 1 species
GAAAUGCGAUAAGUAAUGUGAAUUGCAGAAUUCAGUGAAUCAUCGAAUCUUUGAACGCACCUUGCGCUCCUUGGUAUUCCGAGGAGCAUGCCUGUUUGAGUGUCAUUUAAUUCUCAACCACACCAGUCUUUGUGGCUGGCUUGGUGGCUUGGAUGUGGGGGAAUAUUUGCGGGCUUCAUCUCUACAUGUUGAGGUCAGCUCCCCUGAAAUGUAUUAGCGGAACGGUUUGCAGUCCUCAUCGCUGGUGUGAUAACUAUCUAUGCCAACAUGAAGAUGUGCUGCUCUCUGAUAGUUCAGCUUCUAACUGUCUUCUUUCAUGGACAAACUGUAUACUUUGACCCUUGACCUCAAAUCAGGUAGGACUACCCGCUGAACUUAA